UGAUGUGAUGGACAACUAGGGGAUACCCUCUGCUCUGAUGAUGAGACGGAGAAACUCAGUCAAACCACUCAACAGUCUCUUGUGUCCUCCUGGCUGAUUCUCCGGUUAGCCUCUCACUCUACAGCAUUCCUCCUCUUCCACAGCCUGCUGAAUGAACACAGCUGGCGUCUCCUGUCUCUUCCUUUCCCUGUACAAAACAGGAAACAGGACACAUCAUCUCUUUACAGUUUGAUUUCAUGCAGGUGUUCCCCUCUAAUGGCGCAUACAGUGUGAAACCAAAUGACUCCAUCUCCUGCUGUGACAAGGCCAUGUCAACAGGUUGCUACAUACAGAUCUGGGGCCUCAUUUCCAGAUAAGAGGCGCUCUGAGAGAGGACACCACUGCUACGGGACUAAGAGGACGCAUUAAUCACAGAAUCCACCCACUCCUAUCACCCUCAGCACCUGAAGAGUUGCUUUAAAUAUAAU